rnacentral:lncRNA from 1 species
AUGUUGAGAUUUGAAAAAAAAAAUGUUUUUGUUAUUUGCUCUCCAAAGGAAACGUCAAAUGACCACCAUCACUAUGCUGUUCCUGUAACUAUUUGGUCUUUCAAAUUCAUAUGCAUUAAAGUCAGUGCAACUAAUCUAAGUCCUAAAUUACUUCCCAUUUACAGGAUGCAGUUUUACAAAACCAGAGGUAGCCGUCAAGUUGGAGCAAUGAAAAGGUCCAUUGUUGUUAGAGGAAGAAUUUCCAAGCAGGAGACAUGCAGGGUGAUAGUCCAGGUUGCUGAUGCCACCACCAUAAUUCAUCACCAGAGAUGGAGAAACUCUGUACCAUGAUGCCAGCUGGGCAAGGAAGAUCACUUUGCUGAGUGCUGGCAGGACUGAUUCAAUAGUUAUGCGGGCUCUGGGCUCCCGUGGCUGCCUUUAGCAUCUGGAUGCUGUAACUUGGAAGUUUGGUGUGGAGCGGUGUGAAACCUCAGAGGAUACAUGAAUAGGUCCAUAAACCUUCUCACACUGUCACCCUGGAAAUGGAACUCCAUAUGGCUGUCGGGGAGCUGCCCAAAGGCCACCUGCAAGGGAUCCUAGGAAGGCUGGCCGUGUACGUCCUGGGGCCACAUUCGCAGCGUAUGGAAAUUCUUAGACUAAAGGUCAAAUUGGAGCUGCAGCUGCGGACCUACACCACAGCCAUAGAAAUGUAAUCAACAGUUACGCAGACAAGCACAUUACACUCAAUGGGAGCUGUCCUUUCAAGAACUUGGUUUUGAACUGUAGAGGCUCCCACUGUGUCUUCUGAAGGUCAUGAUAAGAAAAAAUCCUGUCUACUGAGAAUGUGAGAGAGAGAUUUUGAUGGACAGUAAAUACAUCAUUUUAGAAGUGCGCUUUGGUAUCAAUUGAUCAGCUUUUGCCUCACCUAUUUUGAUAAGGAUUCUCAUAAUGAUAAAUAUAUCAAUUCUCCAAAAGACAGCAAUUUUAAAUGUGUAUGCGCCUAACAAAAAGGAUUUCAAAAUGCAGAUCCUGCUACCCACCUCCCCCAACGACAACUUGGCAUUCAUCCACAGACAGAGGUGACUUUCUGGGAGAUGAGAUUUCAGCACCACGUACCAAGGGUCCUUGGAGGAGUCUUGCCCAUCCAUGUGGAAGGAAUUGGUCCUGCUUGUGGACACUGUAGUAGCCCAUGAAUCUGCUCCAGCUCUGCUCAGCUGGGCUCCAGAAGUCCCUAAAGAACACUGAUUCUGACAAUCACUCAUGGGGCCACACAGAUCUGAGUCAAGUCUGAGACUUACACCACAGCUCACAGCAACACGGGAUCCCUAACCCACUGAGUGAGGCCAGGGAUCGAACUUGCGUCCUCAUGCAUACAAGUCAGAUUCAUGUCCACUUAGCCACGACAGGAACUCCCUAAAUAUAUUUGUUAAUAAACCAAUGGUUCUCCAGACUUUUCAGCGUACUAAGUGCUAAAGCAAACAAGAGAUUCUUCUCAAAAUAUGUCGGUGGCUUGAGAGAUGUCAUUACCAAGUGGUGAUCUAUACAGAAGGUAGGUUAGAAAGCUUUUAAUUCCUAUAUCCAUGAAUUAGCAAACUUUUUACCCCCUUUUUUAAAGUUUUUUUGAAGUAUAGUUGACUUAGAAGUUUGUGAUAAUUUCUGUUCUACAGCAAAGUGAUUCGGUUAUACAUUCAGAUUCUUUCCCCACAUAGAUUAUCCCAGAAUAUUGGACAGAGUUCCCUGUGCUAUACAACAGGUCCCCGUUGGCCAAUCAUUCCAUAUACCUCCGUGUAAUUAGCAAACAUUUAUAAAACACUUUUCAUCAGGGAAUAGAAUACUGGGAGUGUGGUCUGACUUCACUCCUCACUCUUGCCUGCAAGACCUUUCGUUGCAGUUAGAGAAACAGUUCAAGAUAUGCAGAGGCUGUCAUAGGGGAGAAGUGCAAGGGGUUCUAGACAACCAUAGCACAGGGGACCAGCCCUCCGUGGGGAAGUAGGGAGUAAGAAGUGUUUAGGAAAAAAGGCUAAAGCAUGGGGGUAUUCUCCUUGGGGUGCCAGAGUCAGCUGAUUAAGAUGAGAUCAUUCCCGAAUCCAUGUUCUCCAGCCAACAACCAGCAGGAACACACCUGAGAACAAGUGGAAUCUAGAACAAGUUGGGUUUCUUCCUCAUUGCUGUGAGUGUCUCAGUUGGAGGAUGUUAGAAGAAAGCUACUGCAGCAUUUGGGCUUAGGUUGGUGAUUUGAGGGAGAGCCUGAAAGUGGUGGGUCAUUUAGACCAGAUGCCGAAAGCCAAGGCAACUCUGAUUCAUCUGUCAAUGAAUCUUACAGACAGGAGGGAAGAUGAUGGGUAGGCAAGAGUUGUUCCUGGAAACAAAGUAGCUGUCAUUCAUUUUAACCAAAAGAAUGGAGUGUUUGGUAUUUGGGGGGUGGCACAGUGACCUUGUUUUUUUUCCCUGUACUUAGAAAACAAUUAUGAAUUGCCGUCAUUUUGUCUCACUUUAUCAUGCUCUCCAAGUACUCUUCCUUGGUGUUGGUAUUCUGUGAUACUUCUUGGUAUUUAUGUCCAGGCUCACUUGUGGAUAGCAGCAAGGCUGUUGUUUUUGUUUUUGUUUCCCUCUCACAAGGAACAUGAAGCAUGAGGGAGGCUUUUAGCUUGAAUUGGAAGACAUCCUUCUAGAAUUUUAGCAAUCAUUGAAAAAGUACAGGUCUUCUAGGCACACCCACUCCAUGUAUGAAGAAGAAACAUGAACAGAAGAGCACAUUCAGCACAUUGCUGGCUUGCAUGUAGUUUCUAAGAUUUGUUUAAACGCCUCUACUCCCAAGUUUUAUAUUUGUUGUGUUUUGAUGUAACAUUCAUAAAUGUUAAAAACACCAGUCAGAUUUCAGUUCAUCUAUCCUCCCGUAAGGAUUGUCUCAGACUGGAGCUGUGGAUUCUCUUGACUUAGGAUUUAAACCCCUAUCACUCCCCCUCCCAGCUCGAUUGAUUAGGGAAGUGGUGCAGUGAUAUCAGAGUGGAAUGAGAGAAAACCAAGUCAUCCAUUACAAAAACUCUCCAUAAAGUCUGCUCCUAAUUUGAAUGCAAAGUGUUUUAAUAAGCAAGAAUUUAACCACUGUUGGAGUUCCCCUGGUGGCGCAGUGGAAAUGAACCCGACUAAAAAGUAUGUGGUUGCAGGUUUAAUCCCUGGCCUCAGUCAGUGGGUUAAGGAUCUGGUGUUGCCAUGAGCUGUGGUGUAGGUCACAGACUUGUAGGUGUAGGCUCGGAUCUGAUGUGGCUGUGGUGUAGGCCAGCAGCUCUAGCUCUGAUUGGACCCCUAACCUGGAAAUCUCCAUAUGCCGCCAGUGUGGCCCUUAAAAGCAAAAAAAUAAAAAAAUAAAAAAA